UGCUGCAGUUCCUGAUGAUGUAAACGCAUGGGAGGCACUAAAGGGGAGACCUCAUAAUGUAGAUCUCAUCUUGACAGAGGUGGAAUUGCCAUCAAUAUCUGGAUUCACUCUUCUUACCUUGAUAAUGGAGCAUGAGAUCUGCAAGAAAAUUCCUGUUAUAAUUAUGUCCUCAAAUGAUUCAAUUAGCAUGGUUCAAAUGCAUGAUGAGGGGUGCUACUGACUUUCUCAUUAAACCUCUUAGGAAGAAUGAACUUCGGAAUUUGUGGCAGCAUGUUUGGAGAAGACAAUCUUCAGCUGGUGACAGAAGCCUUGCACAACGAAACGUUGAAGCAAUAUCU